UGGGGGAUAUUGCACAAUGGGGGAAACCCUGAUGCAGCGACCCCCCGUGGAGGAAGAAGGUUUUCGGAUUGUAAACUCCUGUCGUUAGGGACGAUAAUGACGGUACCUAACAAGAAAGCACCGGCUAACUACGUGCCAGCAGCCGCGGUAAAACGUAGGGUGCAAGCGUUGUCCGGAAUUACUGGGUGUAAAGGGAGCGCAGGCGGGAAGACAAGUUGGAAGUGAAAACCAUGGGCUCAACCCAUGAAUUGCUUUCAAAACUGUUUUUCUUGAGUAGUGCAGAGGUAGAUGGAAUUCCCGGUGUAGCGGUGGAAUGCGUAGAUAUCGGGAGGAACACCAGUGGCGAAGGCGGUCUACUGGGCACCAACUGACGCUGAGGCUCGAAAGCAUGGGUAGCAAACAGGAUUAGAUACCCUGGUAGUCCAUGCCGUAAACGAUGAUUACUAGGUGUUGGGGGAUUGACCCCCUCCGUGCCGCAGCUAACGCAAUAAGUAUCCCACCUGGGGAGUACGAUCGCAAGGUUGAAACUCAAAGGAAUUGACGGGGGCCCGCACAAGCGGUGGAGUAUGUGGUUUAAUUCGAAGCAACGCGAAGAACCUUACCAGGGCUUGACAUCCUACUAACGAAGCAGAGAUGCAUUAGGUGCCCUUCGGGGAAAGUAGAGACAGGUGGUGCAUGGUUGUCGUCAGCUCGUGUCGUGAGAUGUUGGGUUAAGUCCCGCAACGAGCGCAACCCUUAUUGUUAGUUGCUACGCAAGAGCACUCUAGCGAGACUGCCGUUGACAAAACGGAGGAAGGUGGGGAUGACGUCAAAUCAUCAUGCCCUUUAUGACCUGGGCUACACACGUACUACAAUGGCGUUUAACAAAGAGAAGCAAGACCGCGAGGUGGAGCAAAACUCAAAAACAACGUCUCAGUUCAGAUUGCAGGCUGCAACUCGCCUGCAUGAAGUCGGAAUUGCUAGUAAUCGCGGAUCAGCAUGCCGCGGUGAAUACGUUCCC
rnacentral:rRNA from 1 species